GGUCAGGCGACCGUCGACAUCUACUUUGCAAGCAGAAGGCCGUGGGUUCGAGUCCCACCGUCUCCA
rnacentral:tRNA from 1 species